AUAGUAUCUUUUUUUAUCUAAUAAGUGUAAACAUUAAGCACAGUUGUUAGUCUGUGUGAACAGGACUGUGUCACUGAAGAUUAUACAUUGAUUUGUUUCAUUUCUCCACUUUAUUUUCUGUAGUAUAAUUCCAAAUAUGUUUUUUUUUUUAAUAGAGUCCACCAUGAAGUUUAAUAUGAAAAAGGCGGGACCGCUCUUGGCAUGGGUAUGAUUGUCAUCCAGUUAUGUUUUGUUUAAUGUACUCAGAGAUCUGACAAAUAAAUAGGUUGUUAGUCACGGUUAUUUAGUCUGUUGACAUGCUGGUUUAUAGUCUCAAUGUUUCUUCUGUAAGAUGCUUGACUUGUUCUUUUGACAGAUGAACACCGUGUUCCCAGAGAAGCAUGUCUGGGAGUUCGUUCCCAUGAGAGAUGGGAUUCUGCUCCUGAAGAUCUGCUUCAGACUGUGAGUUGAUAUUUUGAGCCUCUUUAUAACCCUUUAUAACUAGCACUAACCCGGUUUGCAUCUGACGAAUGCUUUAUCUGUUACUUUAGAAGGGGCACGGAGAACACCGCGGAUUUUAAGACUUUAUCCCUUUACGAGAAAGUGGAAAUCAUUUUCAGUGUUUUGCAUGGUGAGUUUCAAAAUGUUGUCUGUUUAUUAUUUGAUGCAUAUGUUCUGCAUCUCUGGCUUUGCAUCAGCUGUCAUAUAUAAUAAUGCUUGAUUGGACACUAUGAAAUGAAUGAGACAAGCUUUAGUAGUGACAAAUUAUGCUCUGUUGACAGUAUUUGUUGCAUAAUGUUGAUUAACACAGAAUAUACUUUAUAUUUUGUAAUAUUCUCACCUGGCAUGACCAUGUCCUUUAACAUUUGCAUGAUAUGCAACAUACAGCAAUUUUUUUUACAUUUAUAUAUAUGUAUGUGUAUAUAUGUGUGUGUGUGUGUGUGUGUGUGUGUGUGUGUGUGUGUUUUUGUAUGCUUGAAAUAUAUAAAUGUUCCUAUUUUAAAGAUAAUGUUUCCUUGCUUACAACUUCUGUCUUGCAUGUGCAGAUGAUUUUCACCUCACCGAAAGACAGAGUUCCCUCAUCUUACAGAAGAUCAGUGGAGGGAUUGACCUGGAGCUUCAGCUCGCUAAGGUGGCGCUUUUGCUUUGUUACUGCGCUUUUAAAAAGGGCAUUCUGCUUCCAGUGGAUUCAAAUGUAGAGGUGAGUGUUUACUAAUGACAGCAUUCUGUCACUUACUAGAUGCUUUGCUUUUUUUAGCUCCAUAUCUAGUGUCCAUAUCUAACCGUCACUCUCUAACAUAGGUUCUUAUUUAACUCUCUUUCUCUGUCUGUGUCAGUCGGAAGUUACAUCCAUGUUUGCUUUUGUAAAAGAUGAUGCUGAUGGUCUGUCUUUAGAGGAAGGCCUAGAUCAGUUUCUAGCCCAAGACUGUAAGUAGUCGCAUUGUUUUGUGAAUUGGAUAGUUCAAUUAAAUCUAUGCUCUUCUGUUAAUCAUCUGUCUCUCACAUGCGUGCUCUCUGUAGCUUUUAUGAACGUUGUGAACUCUAGCAGCGGCAGCUCGCUGUUAUACACCGAUGACGAGUCUCCGAUCGUAGGCCGGUUUCAACGGCCUCCCAGAGUUCAGUUUCAAGAGCUUUGUACAGUGGCUUCCAGCUCAGACGGGUCAGUGUGUGUGUGUGUGUGUGUGUGUGUGUUCUGUUUUUGUUAAAGCCUUCUUGACUAAAACCAUAAAAAAGGUUAAACGAGUCACUGCUUUAAAAGUUGUAAUUGUAUGGUGACAAGUACAGCAAUGCUAAUAGAAAAUGCAUUUGUUUACAUUAAAAUCAGCAUUUUGUUGAUUAAUAUAACUGAUUUUUUAUAUGUUCAACUUCAAAUAUAAAGGAAUAUUCUGGGUUUAUAAUGUUGCUCAUAAUAUCGAAUACCACAAAAAUGAAUUUUUCCACUUUUUCUUUCCUUGUUUUUUAAUUCAC
rnacentral:lncRNA from 12 species